rnacentral:rRNA from 1 species
CUCACACCCAACCCGCCAGGGAACUACGAGCCCAGUCUUAAAACCCAAAGGACUUGACGGUGCCCCACCCACCUAGAGGAGCCUGUUCUAUAAUCGACACCACCCGCUAUACCUUACCUCUUCUAGCACAUCAGUCUGUAUACCUCCGUCACAAGCCUACCGUGUGAACGCUUGCAGUGGGCUGAAAGAUUCCUCCAUCAACACGUCAGGUCAAGGUGCAACUUACGAAGUGGGAAGCAAUGGGCUACAAUUUCUAUAAUAGAAUACACGAAAAACUGCAUGCAAUACAGUCAUGAAGGUGGAUUUAGCAGUAAAAAGAAAAUAGAGAGUUCUUUUAAACAAGGCGCUGGGACGCGCACACACCGCCCGUCACCCUCUUCAAGUGCCCACAACAUUAGAAGAGGCAAGUCGUAACAUGGUAAGUGUACUGGAAAGUGCACUUGGAUAACAAAAUGUAGCUUACCCAAAGCAUCUCGCUUACACCGAGACGACAUCCUUAAACAGAUCAUUUUGAGCCCGAUUCUCAGCCCACAUCAUACUCAUCACCACUAACCCGCAGAUAAAACAUUUUCCUCAUUUAGUAAAGGCGAUCGAAAAAUGAUUAAGAGCCAUAACGACAGUACCGCA